rnacentral:rRNA from 1 species
UACCAGCACCCCGAGUGGUCGGGACGUUUUAUUGGGCCUAAAGCAUCCGUAGCCGGUUCUACAAGUCUUCCGUUAAAUCCACCUGCUUAACAGAUGGGCUGCGGAAGAUACUAUAGAGCUAGGAGGCGGGAGAGGCAAGCGGUACUCGAUGGGUAGGGGUAAAAUCCGUUGAUCCAUUGAAGACCACCAGUGGCGAAGGCGGCUUGCCAGAACGCGCUCGACGGUGAGGGAUGAAAGCUGGGGGAGCAAACGG